AGUGAACGCUGGCGGCAGGCCUAACACAUGCAAGUCGAACGGCAGCACAGUAAUCGCUUGCCCUUACGGGUGGCGAGUGGCGGACGGGUGAGGAAUACAUCGGAACCUACUUUUUCGUGGGGGACAACGUAGGGAAACUCACGCUAAUACCGCAUACGACCUACGGGUGAAGGCAGGGGCUCUUCGGACCUUGCGCGAUUGGAUGAGCCGAUGCCGGAUUAGCUAGUUGGCGGGGUAACGGCCCACCAAGGCGACGCUCCGUAGCUGGUCUGAGAGGAGGAUCAGCCACACUGGAACUGGGACACGGUCCAGACUGCUACGGGAAGCAGCAGUAGGGAAUAUUGGACAAUGGGCGCAAGCCUGAUCCAGCCAUGCCGCGUGGGUUAAGAAGGCCUUCGGGUUGUAAAGCCCUUUUGUUGGGGAAGAAAAGCAGCAGGUUAAUACCCCGAUGUUAUGACGGUACCUGAAGAAUAAGCACCGGCUAACUUCGUG
rnacentral:rRNA from 1 species